AGCGUGGGGAGAUACCGGGGGACCACGCCCUGAAACUGCUUGAACGCGGGCAGCGACAGCACCCUGCGAACUGCAGAAGGGUGACUCAGCAACACAUCGAGCCAGCACUGCUUCUUCCACAAGGAUUGUCUAAACUGUUCAGUGAACAGCGCAUGGUAUCCGUGCCCAUCCAUCUCACCUGCAGGGCAUGCUGUAUCACCCAUGCAUGCAUCACCGUAGAUCUUUCUUGCUCUCCAGCAACAUCAGCAGUUUUUAUUUAUACCCAAAUAGCAGUGCAAAGGUAGCACAGUGGACAACACGAUUGUCUUCCUGGAAUAGGUGGCAGCGCUGAACCUGGUGUUGAGAGGGAAGCUGGAGCACAAGCUGAAAUGGAGCUUUAAGAUGUAGGACAAGGACGGAAACCCUACUUCCAGUGUGCUGUACUGUACACAGGCAUAACAAUUUCACCUCAAUGUGAUGGGAUUUAUUCCUACAGCACAACAGGUUCCUAUCUACUGUACAGAUUGUGAGGGAACAGUUCUGGACCAGACCAUACGAAUCAAGCCUGCUGGUUGAUAUUGCGAAUGGACAGUUUUUUGACUGUAAAUAAAGAAUAUCUCAUUUCUUAA